AUACGGAGGAUCCGAGCGUUAUCCGGAUUUAUUGGGUUUAAAGGGUGCUCAGGCGGGGGAUUAAGUCGGCGGUGAAAUUUUGCGGCUCAACCGUAAAAGUGCCUUCGAAACUGGUUUCCUUGAGUGUGGAUGAGGUAGGCGGAAUUUGUGGUGUAGCGGUGAAAUGCAUCGAUAUCACGAGGAACUCCGAUUGCGCAGGCAGCUUACCAGGCCAUAACUGACGCUCAAGCACGAAGGCGUGGGGAUCAAACAGGAUUAGAUACCCUGGUAGUCCACGCAGUAAACGAUGAUUACUAGCUGUUUGCGAUACAAUGUAAGCGGCUGAGCGAAAGCGUUAAGUAAUCCACCUGGGGAGUACGUUCGCAAGAAUGAAACUCAAAGGAAUUGACGGGG
rnacentral:rRNA from 1 species